AAACUAUUUGCUUUUUAUCUGUAUGCCAUUAAGAUUAUAUACCUUAUCCAGCUACACUGACCUUUGGUAUAAAAUUUAGGCAAUACAUAUCUCUCGCCCUGAAAAGAUUAUUUUUGUAUUCUUUAUGAUCUCAAUCAUUCUUUAAUGGCCAUCCCCUUGAUGCUGUGGAAGUUAAUGUUUCAGUAACAUGAGACUGCAACAGAACAAAGGUAUCAUGGCACUCUGCCAUUAUUUGGAACAUUAGUGGAACCUAGUCUGCCCCUCUUCUCCACCAUAUUUUAUUUCAGAAUUCAGGAAGGGGAUUGUCACUUAAGAUUAGUAAUUUCCAUUGGUUUCCACUUCUGACCUCAAAACACUAGAUUGGUAGAAGGAGCAAAUACAUUCCCCACUGUGGAUGAUGUUUAUUUUGUUAGCAAUGUAAACAUUGACUCUGUGUGUCAAUGUGAAGUUGAAGAAAAGCCAUGACAUUAGAAAUUAGCAGAAAAUACAUAAAUUAGUUGAGACUUAGUUGGCCUGUUAAUGGCUAGUGACUUAUAAAAAGUCAUCCACAUAUAACUUUAUAAUGUGAAUACUCACAUUACGUGGACAUUACUCAUGCUAAUAUCCAACUCUUGUUUUGGUUCUCAUAUGUAGAAGGGCUUUAAGUCUUUUUAAAAAAACAUAUGCAAGUUAAUGGAGCUGCAUUCUGCUUUCCAAACCCUCCUCACACCAUCCAUGCGCUGUCAUUACAAACUGAACCCUUGACCAGAUUCUAAUAAUGGACAGAUGUUCAGAAAAAACAGAAGUGCACUGUGAAGUUAAUUUAGAAAAAAAGGUGACCACUAAGACCAAGAGAUUCUCACAAGCAGGAGAACAAAUACUUGCAGAUGAAGAGACUACAAAUGAACAGAAAACAGGCUAGAUGGGAAAGGAAAACAGAAGAUAAAUAAAAGGACUAACAUUCCCACGUGUAUAAUAGUGCAUUUAAAGGAAGCUAAACUAAAUACAUUUCUUCUUCUGUGAUUUUUGGAGCGAAGUAUUCUAUUUCUCUGCCUCAUCUGACACCUGGCUGGAGAUAGGACUGAGUAAAACAGUUAAGAAAACAAAACUCAAGCCAGGUAGCUGUAAUUAGGCAGGCCCAGUGCAAGCAUGAAUGGGGCAGCCAGGGGGGAAAAAGGAAUAGGGAUAUCAAAGCCAGCUACCCUCUUAAUAAAAUGCACCAACUUUUCUUGCUCUUAAUGUUCAGAGCAACUUUCAAUAGCACUGUGAACUGGUUUUUGCUUCCUAAUAUGAGACUGGUUUCUCUGCUAAUUUAUUGUCUACAACAGUGGUCUCCAAAGUGGUGUGCGCGCACCCCAGGGGGUGCGCCAGAGGAUCCCAUGGGGUGCGCGGCAGGAGGAGCACAGCCGGACGGCACUCCGCUGUUGUUUUUCUUCGGCAGCAGCUCUGCAUGCCUGCAGCAGGUCUUCCCCUCUGCUUUCUUCAGUGGCACCGUGGGGGUGCGCGAUCCAAAAACUUUGGAGACCACUGGUCUACAGGAUAGUAUGCCUGGCAAUACUCCUAAAUGGAUUGUCCUUCUGCUGGGCAGAUUCAAAGGCAAUUCAGAGCUGUCAAUCAGGAAGCCCACUGCUCUGUAGGUCGACCCCAUAACUUCAUGCUUCUGACUGUUAAAGUUGAAUAAAGGAAGGGAAAUAUUAAUAAGGUUUGCUUCUGCCUGACUUCCUGCUGGCAAAGGCAGGACUCUGUUUCUAUGCAGCGGGAUGAUCUGCAGAGCCUGGGCUCAAUGAUUGGCAGCUUUGAAUUGCCUUUGAAUCUGCCCAGUGUGACAGAGAACUCUCUUAUGAAGAAUACAGAUGUGUUCUCAUAAGAGAACUAGCCCCUAGAUGUACUCUGUAUUAAUAUUUUAGAAGCAAAGCAAGUUUUACAGAGGUUCUGUGGCUAUUGCUCUCUAAUAUCCUUUCUGAUUCUGGAAUGUUUGACUAGUUACACAUGAGAUCUGGUGUCCUUAUAUAUAUAAGAAUACAAAAAAUAGAAGUCUGGAUUGGAAUAAAGGAAGCAGUCAUGCAGAUCAAUGUUUAACAUUUUGGGAUCUUUCCCCAAAAUUGGUGGAAAUUAAGGAUUACACACAAUUGUUUUUUCUAAAUCUGCUAUAGGAGAUUAAAUAUUUAUCAAGACAGCAUCCAUACAAUUGUAGAACUAUUUGUAAAGUUUUAACUGUAUGUUAUAAUAAAGUGUUUUACACCCAAACUUACCCCCACAUUAAAAAACCCCACCACCAGAGCAGAAUAUAAAUCUUAAUGUAGAAAGUAUUUGUUCUUGUGAAUUAUUUUUUAGGCAGCCAAGAGGAAACUGCAGAUAAAGGAUUAUGCAUAUAGAGGAGUCCAGCCUCAUAUCCUAAAUAUGGCCCUAGUGUAGCCUGUGUGAAUAAACUGAACUGAAACAUCAGCUAGGACAGCUCCUAUGGAAAAACAGAUGCAGCAGAUUGCCAGAGAGUACCCAUAGUGAUUACAUGGUAUGUAUGCACCAAACAUGUUGCAUACUUACAUGGCUAAAGGA